AUGAGAAAUGCGGGAGAGACCGUGAAGGCGCCGAAGGAGUAAGUUAUAUACCUUGUGUGCCGGUAUAUAAUGAAGCUCUCAGGCAAAAGGACCGUAUUUCGACA
rnacentral:ncRNA from 2 species